CCUGUGGAUCGGAGUGAAAGGCUAAUCAAGCUCGGAGAUAGCUGGUUCUCCUCGAAAGCUAUUUAGGUAGCGCCUCAUGUAUCACUGUAGGGGGGAGAGCACUGUUUCGGCUAGGGGGUCAUCCCGACUUACCAAACCGAUGCAAACUCCGAAUACCUACAAGUGCCGAGCAUGGGAGACACACGGCGGGNGCUAACGUCCGUCGUGAAAAGGGAAACAACCCAGACCGUCAGCUAAGGUCCCAAAGUCAUGGUUAAGUGGGAAACGAUGUGGGAAGGCUUAGACAGCUAGGAGGUUGGCUUAGAAGCAGCCACCCUUUAAAGAAAGCGUAAUAGCUCACUAGUCGAGUCGGCCUGCGCGGAAGAUGUAACGGGGCUCAAACCAUGCACCGAAGCUACGGGUAUCAUCUUA
rnacentral:rRNA from 1 species